UGCCCUCUUUCUUCUCUAAUCAGUAGUGCCGUUUCUUGGUCCGGCGAUGGUUGCUCCCGCUCAUCCUUCCUGACAAUGCCCACGGCCGGUGCAUCACCGGAGCCCCCACUACCGGGCCUCAUCUCCAUUCGGCGGCCCGUCCCCCCUUCUCUCCUCCGUCGCUGCAGCUUCAUAUGUUCUGGACACGCCCCCUCCUCCCAGCCAGGCUCAGUCACUCCAACCAUGACGCGACGGCUGGAUGGAGCCCAUAUGGCGUGGCGGCGGCUUCACAACGGCAACGACACCCAUCGGUUCCCACUAGCCCAAUCAGGUGUCGGCUCUCGGCCAAGAUCCCGGUGGUGGAGCUGUGUCACGGCAUGCGAGGCCAUCCAGUGAGCGCCCUCCGGCACAUGACGCGCGGCACAACGACGCCCUCCGGCGUGGCUGACCGUGGCCAUGGUCCUACAGGUGCGCGCUAUGUGGGGUCAACGACCUUCCGGCGCGGUUCCCUCCGGGCGUCGUGUGGCGCUCGAUCGUGACUCCCAUGGCAGUGCUCCCCUGUGGCGGUAGCCAGCCGCUCUUCACGUGGUUCUAGCAGUCUGCAUAGUGUUCGUUUCUCCCGAUGCCGAUGGUAGCGUCGUGCCUUCCUUGACGAGUGGCGGGCAUGUCCGGGCGAUCCUCUCCCUCCUGGUCAACCAAGGCGUGCGAGUAUAGCGCCUGCGUUUGCGCCGUCGCGUCCAUGUGUGUUCUAUUUCACGCAGUCGAGGCAUCGCACUCUCAGCCGUGACCUUCCCUGGCGAGCAGACGACAUGUUCGCGCUGUCGCUUCACUCCCGAACUCCCGGUCGAUCAAGGCACACGGAGACGACGCCCGCCCUGCAUCACUUGUGUCCAAUGUGCAUGCCAACGGUCUGCGAUGCCGAGGGAUGCCUCCGUGUGCUCCUGCGUCGGUUGCUGCCAUAGUGCCAUGGUCCGUGUGCUCAGACUGAGAUGCAUCGAACCGGCGCCGGCCUGGGCGCCAUCACGGGACGGGUAGCGCCGCCGCGUGCUGCCGACCGAGGGCACGCUCGGGCGACUGAGCGAACGCCCAACGUGUAAUCUUGGCUCCUGAGUAUCUGAACUUUUACGGGCUUGAAGCUAUGUACCACUUGAUUUUAUCUUGUUGAAUAAAGUUAGUUCGCUGCAUGGAAACCGCGUAUUAAUUCUAUUAGUUUAUAUAGAGUUGUGAUUGGCCAGUGUUUGUAUGCACUAGCAAAAGCUGAUGUGACUACGUGCAUGUGCAUCUCCAAGGUGCUUUCAAAGUUUCAAAGGGUACGUACUGUAUCAGUUUUUCCCAGUCGUGAUUGGCCUGGCUCCUACGUAUAGUUUAUGUGUAUAUCAGUGUAUGGCUAAUGCGUGCUAAGGCACACUUUUAGUUAGUUUUAUGUCCUAAUGAAGGGCAGUCGAGACAAUAGAUAGAGGUUAUUUUAUCUAAUUCAAAAGUGACAUAUUUCCAGCUUUCUUUAAUGAUGUCAAGACGUUCGCGAAUUUGAAAGUUGGAACACCUUGGCUGAUACUCCCUCCGUCCUUUAAAGGAUGUAUUUCCAACUUUGUUGGAGAGUCAAACCAUCUUAAAGUUUGACCAAGUUUGUGCAAAAAUAUAUAAUUGUUUAUGAAACCAAAUAAGUAUAUGAUGAAAAUAUAUUUUAUCAUGAAUCUAACGCUACUAAUUUGAUAGCAUAAAUGUUGAUGUAUUAUUGUAUAAAUACGGUCAAACAUAAAAAAGUUUGACUUUCCAACUCUUUGAAGGACGGAGGGAGUAGAGAAAAAGAUGAGCUCAAAUGUUGUUCCUCUGUUAUCAAACUCAUUCGAUGCCAGCCAGGUAGAAUUGGGACCUAAUGAUGCUAUAGCACCUGCAAAUGGGGGUGCAGGAGUUCAUAAUUUGUGGGACUACAACUCGGGAUAGGAGAUUUUGCUUUGUGUAUUCUAGAAAGUGAUUUUCCUGGAGAAGGAAUGGUUAUGUCAACAUUUCGAAAGAAGAUUCAAAUCCUAAAAGCAGAGCUACUUUUGCGGUGUUU